rnacentral:rRNA from 1 species
UAUACGACCGUACCGCAAACCGACACUGGUGCGCGAGAUGAGUAUUCUAAGGCGCUUGAGAGAACUCAGGAGAAGGAACUCGGCAAAUUGACACCGUAACUUCGGAAGAAGGUGUGCCCUAUUAGUGUGAGUGAACAACGAAGCAUGAAUGGGUUGCAAAAAAUCGGUGGCUGCGACUGUUUAUUAAAAACACAGCACUCUGCAAACACGAAAGUGGACGUAUAGGGUGUGACGCCUGCCCGGUGCUGGAAGAUUAAAUGAUGGGGUGCAAGCUCUUGAUUGAAGUCCCAGUAAACGGCGGCCGUAACAAUAACGGUCCUAAGGUAGCGAAAUUCCUUGUCGGGUAAGUUCCGACCUGCACGAAUGGCGUAACGAUGGCCACACUGUCUCCUCCUGAGACUCAGCGAAGUUGAAAUGUUUGUGAUGAUGCAAUCUCCCCGCGGAAAGACGGAAAGACCCCAUGAACCUUUACUGUAGCUUUGUAUUGGACUUUGAACAGAUCUGUGUAGGAUAGGUGGGAGGCUUUGAAGCAGGGUCGCUAGAUCUUGUGGAGCCAACGUUGAAAUACCACCCUGGUGUGUUUGAGGUUCUAACCUAGGUCCAUUAUCUGGAUCGGGGACAGUGCAUGGUAGGCAGUUUGACUGGGGCGGUCUCCUCCCAAAGCGUAACGGAGGAGUUCGAAGGUACGCUAGUUACGGUCGGACAUCGUGACGAUAGUGCAAUGGCAUAAGCGUGCUUAACUGCGAGACUGACAAGUCGAGCAGAUGCGAAAGCAGGACAUAGUGAUCCGGUGGUUCUGUAUGGAAGGGCCAUCGCUCAACGGAUAAAAGGUACUCUGGGGAUAACAGGCUGAUACCGCCCAAGAGUUCAUAUCGACGGCGGUGUUUGGCACCUCGAUGUCGGCUCAUCUCAUCCUGGGGCUGUAGCCGGUCCCAAGGGUAUGGCUGUUCGCCAUUUAAAGAGGUACGUGAGCUGGGUUUAAAACGUCGUGAGACAGUUUGGUCCCUAUCUUCCGUGGGCGCUGCAGAUUUGAGGAAGCCUGCUCCUAGUACGAGAGGACCGGAGUGGACACACCUCUGGUGUACCGGUUGUCACGCCAGUGGCAUUGCCGAGUAGCUAAGUGUGGAAGAGAUAACCGCUGAAAGCAUCUAAGCGGGAAACUCGUUUCAAGAUGAGAUCUGCCGGGGCCUUGAGCCCCCUAAAGAGUCGUUCAAGACCAGGACGUUGAUAGGUCAGGUGUGGAAGCCAAAAAA